GGAAGCACCUUUGAAAUUAAUGGGCGGGCAUAGUAAACUCGGUGGCUGAAGGUAAUGAAAACCAGCUGAUUGUAAGUACCACGUGAUUAUAUGUCCUAUAUAAGUCUUUUCAAUUUUAUGAAUGUUUGUGUCCUGAUGAAAGCUCCCCAGUGGAGCUGAAACGUUGAAUUUUUCUUCCGCAAUAAAUGGAGAAGUUAUCUUCUGGAAAACCUUGAGUGCCGGUAUUUUCACUUUGUUUAUGAUUAAGCCACCAGAGCACCAGGUACUAUUUUUAUUUUUCUAGUUGGAGUGCAGGGGUAUUUUGUAAUUUUAUAUAUAUAUAUAUAUAUAUAUAUAUAUAUAUAUAUAUAUAUAUAUAUCUUAACAUAACCAAGGUCAUUGACCCCAUGUCUCCCAUCUUCAACCAUAUUCUAUUUGAACAUACAUGACCCACAUAACAGUACAAGGCAAUGACCCACAUCCAUAAAUAACAUAACAAUACAACACAUUAACAAACAUAAAGUGCAAAUACAUUAACUUAACAGAACUGAGGUACAGUGGUGUAUUCUGGUUUUGUGCUACCCUAGGCAGGACAAAACUCAGGCUAACUCGACACCCACCCAUCCCUUCCCCCCGCCCCGCCUUCUAAAUACACACACACAUUCACUGACAGAUACGCAUACAUACCCUUUGGCGGGCGGGCGGCUGGCGAGGGAGCACUUCCCCUGAGCACUCUGCUCAGCUCCCUUGCGCGCCUCAGAAUGAGGCUGGGAGCCGGAAUAUGAUGUCUGCGGCGCGCGCAAGGGAGCUGAGCAGACCGCGCAGAGGAGGAGCUCCCUCGUCAGCCGCCCUCCAACGCCGCCCAGCAUGUUAGUUAGCCACAAGGCUAACAAGGCAUUUGCCCUGGGCAUUUGGGGGCGGCUUUUUUUGCCGCCCCCUGGUAAAUGCCGCCCAAGGCAAAUGCCUUGUUUGCUUCGCCGAUACUCCCUUACCCAUUGCCAUCUUAACAACAUUAUGGGCCCCCGGGCAAAGCAGUGCACUAGGGCCCUGCCUAUACAACCACUCACAGGAAAAAAAAAAUUGAUAAAAUUAAGCUUAUAUUUCAUUUUAUCUCCAUAUUACCCCAUUUAUUUAUUUUUUGAAUUUAUUUAUUCUGGAUCCAUGGAAACAAUUGCUGACUAUGAAUAAUGAAGGGUGGUGAGAGCAAAAACUGCUGAUUUGCAUAUGGCAGAUGAUGCACACAGCUUAACAACAACAACAACAACAACAACAACAAAAAUGUAAUGUUGCUGAUGGUUAGGAAUGAUUUGCAAUUUAUUUUGGAUUUAACCCAAAUAGGCUCCAAGCCAAGAUAAACAGGUCUGUGAGAGGAAACACAUACAUAUAUUUUACUCUCAUUCUUGGAAAGAAUCCAUCGGAAAAGCCACAUUCCUUGUUUCAUAAAAAUCAGUUCCAAAAAGCCCUUUGUGUCAACACCAUGUAGAGAGAAAUUAGGUCUAAGAAAAAAUGGUAUCAAACAUAUUCUAAUAUUAAUUACAUACAAUCAUCACAUUUAUUCUCUUAAUUGCGUAUAUUUGGAAUUACCUCAGCCAUUAUUGUCUGUACAUAAUUUAAAACCUAAAGGCAUAGUUAUUGGCUCUAAAAGAAAUAAUAAUGACAUGAACAUUUUAUUAACAGAGAUGCUCAUCCUGUGUUCAUAAUUAAUGGAUACUGAUCUGAGCCAAAAAAAAGUUUAAAUUUGCCAAUAAUUUCUCAAGUGGGGCACAAAAUUUCCAUGAUUGUCAAUUAAACUUCCAAAGAUAAGCAGCAUCACACAUUAAAUGUUAUUAAUGUUGUUAAACUGUUGCAAAGACAGAGACUAUGCUCUUUGAUCAGUUUUAUAUCACCAUGGGAUAUCUACUAUUUUAUAUCAAAACUGACAUUAAGAUCCCUGGGGUCUGGUUUGGAAGUGAGGACAGAACCAUAAAGAACUAUUAGGGACUGACAAAUGUGAGCCAAAAAUAUGGACUUUGGAUCCUCAAUGACUUACCCAAUGAAGGGGAGAAACUAGUUAUUUUAGAGCUAAUAUGCAUGGUUUCCCAAUAUUAAAAUAUAAAUGGGAAUAAAAAAUCAAAACAGAUUAUGGUCUUUGAUAUAUUUAUUGUUAAAGUGCAUUGAUGUACAAAAUAUUUGCCAUAUACAUUGUUAUGCUUAUUUCAAUGAUUUCCAAGUUCCCCUUCCUUUCCUACCCCUAAUACAAUGUUUGUAUUAUUAUUACUUGUUAUACACAAUUUUAAAACUUUAAUAAAAAUUAUUUGAAAGGAAACUAGUUCUUCCAUAUGAGAUUGUUUCAGAUCUGAAGUAAGUGGCUCAACCAUGACUCCCAUUGGCAGCAUUUUGCAGAGCCAUUAUAAGGGCAGUUUUCAGCUUCAUCUGUGGCUCUAGGAUUGAACACAGUCAUGUACAAGGAGCCAUAUAAGCGAAUAAUUGAUAUAUUCACCUUGUCUUUCUUUCUCCAAAUCCCUGCAAGCUGAUUUCACUCACCAAAAAUCUCCAUUUUGCAAUAUCAUCUACAAGCAAUUCAUUUAUCAGCCAAGACAAUAACUCAAUGGUGUUUUUAUCUAUAGUCCUCAAUAUCCUCGUACAAUUUUGCAACUAUUCAUUUUAUAUAAUUCUCUACCGAAAAGUAUGUUCGUGGCUUCUCAACUUCCUCUGCAUUCGUUCUUUCUCAAGAUUUAUACCUAAACCAUAAUUUCCCUCAGCAAAAAUCUCCUCCUCUUUGCUACCACAAACCCACACCCUUGAACCACCUUUCAAAAUAACAUGAUCCUGCAUCUAAUCAUAACUAUUUAACUAUCUCAAACUAUUCAGAAUACGUCCCCAGACCAUUUGCCAUCAACUUCACACAACUGCUGCGACCUCCUGGCACAACUCCCCAUUAUUACCAUUAGAUUGUGAGUAUUCUUGCUAAGCACUUUGUACAAAAGAGUUGCACUUAUAUGCUCCUAGGUAGGGACCACUGUUCCUUUUGCAUCAAUUUCUGUUAUUUUUUUGUCUCUGAACCAAGGCCUUGCAGACCCUUAUUUCAGCUUAGUCAAGGAAAACAAAGGAUUGUCCAGGCACUCCAGACAUUAUAUUGAGCAGCUUUAUUUGAAGUGAACAAGAAUUGCAAUGUUUCAACCCCCACAUAGAAAUAUAGAAGCAUAGAAUGUGACGGCAGAUAAGAACCAUUCAGCCCAUCUAGUCUGCCCAAUUUUCUAAAUCCUUUCAUUAGUCUCUGGCCUUAUCUUAUAGUUAGGAUAGCUUAUGCCUAUCCCACGCAUGCUUAAACUCCUUUACUGUGUUAAUCUCUACCACUGCAGAUGGAAGGCUAUUCCAUGCAUUCACUACCCUCUCAGUAAAGUAAUACUUCCUGAUAUUAUUUUUAAACCUUUGCCCCUCUAAUUUAAGACUAUGUCCUCUUGUUGUGGUAGUUAUUCUUCUUUUAAAUAUGAUCUCCUCCUUUACUAUGUUGAUUCCUGUGACGAAGUGCCCUUCGCCACUUGGUCCUGGAGAGGCCUUCUUGCCAGUCUCCGUCCCUGUGACUAUGACUCUUUCAUCUAUCUGGCUUUAAAGCCCCUAGUCUACCUUCAGACAGACUAUUUAUGUGGGCUGCUUUAUUUAUCCUAUGUUUUAGUCACCCUGUACCCAUUAUAGGUGCAGGGUGUGUGUAAUGUAAUUGUUUGUUUAGUGUGUGUGUGUGUGUGUGUGUGUGUACUGUGUAAUGUAUUGCCUGCUCUCUUGUAUUGCUGAGGUUUGCUACCAACUAGGUGGGUUUGGCUAUGGAGCUGGUCUAGUGCCCUCUGUUGGUAGCAACAGCAAUAUGCACUACCUGAAUUGCAAGACUGGUUCAUUUGCAUAUUCGGGUAGAUUUGCAUAUUGCUAAUUCUGCAGGCAGGUGAGAUAUUUACUGUUAAAUAUUGUCUCCCCCCACCCCUUUAAAAAUGUGCCAUUGUGUUGUGAUAAGUCACUGUGUGUUUCUUGAUAUGGUUUGACUGUUUGUGAUUUUAUUGAGGUUUCACAACAAUGUUAUUGUGGUGACUGUAUUGGCUGGUCCCAAGGGAAUAAAGGUUUUGACAGUUCUUCUUGAUCCCUCUAAACGUAGCCUUGUCUUGUUAUUGGAGGGAGCUGUUAUAAUCACACUGGGGAUUGCUAUACUCUGCAUGCUCCUCUAAGCUUGAGUCACUUAGCUCUUUUAAGAGCUUGUUCCUGACACGCUCUCCUUGGAGGAGGGGUCUUCACCACACACUCCUGGAUGCUGGAGGUUCAUACAGGGUGGAAGGAAGAGUUCUUUCCCACACAGUCCUGGAGGACAGAAGCUGAUCCAGGGUGGAAGGAAGACGGCGAGACUCCAGCCCAGAUACGGCGGUUGCGGAGUCUGCGGUGGUUGUGGUGUUUGCUGCAGCGCUUGCAGUCCUCAGGAAACGCUAGGAGCAUCCGUCAACGGAGGGUACUCGGUCGGAGUACAGGGAGCUCUGUUACAUUGGUGGCAGCGGUGGGAUGGCGUCCUAGUGCGAGGAGAAGCAGCUCGGAGACACUGGUAUCGUAUGAGAGGUUAUUGAGGGCAACGCUAGCCACUGUGCAGCGUCCCUAACUACAGCAGCAUGGAGCAGGGAUGGAUAGAGCCCUGCGAAGAGCACCUCAACAUGAUACGUCGCUACGAGGACGACGCUUACAUUGAGGAGGUAAAGAGGCGGUUGGUCUGCUAUGGCCCAGACCUUUCGAACGAGGUGGUCCACCAAGUAAUGCGCCAGUUGAGUGCUGAGAACAGUGCGGCAAUGGCCUUUGAGCGACAACUGUGGAGGUUGAGGAUAUGGACACCUAGCCUCCAGCGGCAGUGCAAGUUACAGGGAGCCGAAGGUGUCGUCCUUCCUCCCCAGCGGCAGUGCAAGUUACAGGGAGCCGAAGGUGUCGUCCUUCCUCCCCAGCGGCAGUGUGUCCUACAGGCAGCAGAGACAGUUGGUCUCUCUCCCCAGCGGCAGUGCAAGUUACAGGGAGCCGAAGGUGUCGUCCUUCCUCCCCAGCGGCAGUGCAAUUUACAGGGAGCCGAAGGUGUCGUCCUUCCUCCCCAGCGGCAGUGUGUCCUACAGGGAGCAGAGACAGUUGGUCUCUCUCUCCAGCAGCAGGACAAUGUUAUGGGAGUGGAGACAGGCGGUCUCCCUCUCCAGCGGCAGCCUGUGUUUCAGGGAGAGGAGCACAGCACCCUAUCUCCCCAGCGGCAGCUUACCCUACCAAGGGAAGACCCCAAUCUCCCAGAUGGCGCAGAGGGGACCGUGGUCUCUGUGCCCGACCUACAGGGAUGCUGGACAGCCUGUCCAGAUCCCCAACUACCCUCACAUGGACAACAGGAGGAGGGGGUAAGUACGAAUUCCCCUCCCCAGCUAACUCCUAAUUUGGCCCCAGGGUAAACAGGGGAGAUGUUAACCCCCACUGACCCCCACGUUCCCCUGGCUACUGAGCCGGACUGUGUCCCAAGCCCCCCAGCGGAAGAGCUGGCAGCUGGGCAGAGUGCAGUCGGCCUCUGCCCUCCCUUUGUCCCCUGUCCAGAGCCUGAUGUCCUGCAGGCUAUACCAGCAGAAGAGCUGGCAUCAGGGCAGACCGCCGCUGGCCUCUGCCCUACCGAUCCCCUUGUCACAGGACUGGCCUGCACCCCCCUCCUCCCAGCAGAAGCGCUGGCAUCAGGGCAGAGCGCCGCUGGCCUCUGCCCCUCAAGUCCCCACAGCGUGUUGCCCCAUCACCCCAGAGGAAUACCCAGGUGCAGUCACUGUUUGCUGUGGGUGGGCUGCUCUAAUAACUGUUUGUUGUGGGUGGGCUACUCUGGCACUUGCUUAUUGUCGGUGGGUGACUCGACUAACUUAGGCACUGACCGACAGAAAGUCAGGUGCCUGGUUAGUCUUCCCCCCGAAGGGGAGAUAUGUGACGAAGUGCCCUUCGCCACUUGGUCCUGGAGAGGCCUGCUUGCCAGCCUCCUCCCUGUGACUAUGACUCUUUCAUCUAUCUGGCUUUAAAGCCCCUAGUCUACCUUCAGACAGACUAUUUAUGUGGGCUGCUUUAUUUACCCUAUGUUUUAGUCACCCUGUACCCAUUAUAGGUGCAGGGUGUGUGUAAUGUAAUUGUUUAUUGUGUGUGUGUGUGUGUGUGUACUGUGUAAUGUAUUGCCUGCUCUCUUGUAUUCCUGAGGUUUGCUACCAACUAGGUGGGUUUGGCUAUGGAGCUUGUCUAGUGCCCUCUGUUGGUAGCAACAGCAAUAUGCACUACCUGAAUUGCAAGACUGGUUCAUUUGCAUAUUCGGGUAGAUUUGCAUAUUGCUAAUUCUGCAGGCAGGUGAGAUAUUUACUGUUAAAUAUUGUCUCCCCCCACCCCUUUAAAAAUGUGCCAUUGUGUUGUGAUAAGUCACUGUGUGUUUCUUGAUAUGGUUUGACUGUUUGUGAUUUUAUUGAGGUUUCACAACAAUGUUAUUGUGGUGACUGUAUUGGCUGGUCCCAAGGGAAUAAAGGUUUUGACAGUUCUUCUUGAUCCCUCUAAACGUAGCCUUGUCUCGUUAUUGGAGGGAGCUGUUAUAAUCACACUGGGGAUUGCUAUGCUCUGCAUGCUCCCCUGAGCUUGAGUCACUUAGCUCUUUUAAGAGCUUGUUCCUGACACGCUCUCCUUGGAGGAGGGGUCUUCACCACACAGUCCUGGAUGCUGGAGGUUCAUACAGGGUGGAAGGAAGAGUUCUUUCCCACACAGUCCUGGAGGACAGAAGCUGAUCCAGGGUGGAAGGAAGACGGCGAGACUCCAGUCCAGAUACGGCGGUUGCGGAGUCUGCGGUGGUUGUGGUGUCUGCUGCAGCGCUUGGAGUCCUCAGGAAACGCUAGGAGCAUCCGUCAACGGAGGGUACUCGGUCGGAGUACAGGGAGCUCCGUUACAAUUCCCUUUAUGUAUUUAAAUGUUUCUAUCAUAUCCCCCCGUCUCGUCUUUCCUCCAAGCUAUACAUGUUAAGAUCCUUUAACCUUUCCUGGUAAGUUUGAUCCUGCAAUCCAUGAACCAGUUUAGUAGCCCUUCUCUGAACUCUCUCUAAAGUAUCAAUAUCCUUCUGAAGAUACGGUCUCCAGUACUGCGUACAAUACUCCAAGUGAGGUCUCACCAGUGUUCUGUACAAGAGCAUGAGCACUUCCCUCUUUCUACUGAAAUAGAACCUCUUCCUCUGUAAACUCACAUGUAAUAAAUUACUAAUUUGUCCUUUUUCCUAACUGAGGUCCCUUUCCUUCAUUUUCAUCUGUAAAUACUGAACAAAAAUAUUCAUUGAGGCAGUCAAUCCUCUUCUACAAACCUUCCUUCUUUUGUUUUUAAUCUAACUAAUCCUUGUUUUACUUUCCUUUUCUCGUUUAUGUAUCUAAAAAAUGUUUUGUCCCAUUUUUUUACUGACAGUGCUAUUUUCUCUUCUGUGUGUGAUUUGGAAGCUCUUAUAAUUUGCCUAGCCUCUUUCUGCCUAAUCUUAUAGAUCAUUCUGUCUUCCUCAUUCUGUUUUUUUUUUUUUUAUAUAAUUACUAAAUGCUAACAUUUUGUGUUUUACUAUUUUGGACACAUCUGCAGAGUACCACAGUGGUUUCUUUAUUUUUUAUUUUGCUUUUACUGACAAGCCUAAUGCAAUUUUCUGUUGCCUUCAACAGUGCAACUUUUAAAUAAUCCCAUUUCUCUUGGACUCCAUUUAAAUUUCUCCAGUCUGAUAAUGACUCCUUUACACAUAUUCUAAUUUUAGAAAAAUCUGUUUUUUUAAAGUCUCAAACUUUUGGUUUUGUGUGGUGUGACUCGCUCACUGUUCUUAUAUUAAACCACACUAACUGAUGAUCACUGGAUCCUACACAGGAGCUUUUGUCAGCCAGCCCCUUACUUGACUCUCGGUAUAAUACAGUAGUUCUUGAAGAUGUAAAUGCUGUAAUUUUGAGGUGUCAGGAACAAUGGUUUUAUAAAAGGAAACUUUUUUUUUUCAUAACUAAGUUAAUUAAACAAAAAUACAUAACAAAUUUUCACAUACCUCACACAAUACAGAAUGCAGGUGACUGGAGAUAUUUUAAACAAAAAUGCUAAAAUAGGAAAUUAGUAUUUAUAUUAAUAUGCAGUCUCAAUUUAUGAACCUUUUACUAUCUUUUUUCUGAGUUUCCCUGUUUUCCUUAUCCAUUGUGAAUUUUCUUUGCACCUGUUGCCUUUGUUGUGGCCAAGGUCACUCCUUCCCUGUCUCUUUAAACCUAAAUAAUUCUUAGGACCAGGGAGUCCCAUGUAGCCAAUAAGGAAGGCCUGCUACUGAAACAAUCACAUUUUAAAUACGCUACAAUUUACAGUUUAGUGCAAAGAAAAUCACAUCUUUGUUUUUCUUUUUUUUUCUUUAAGAUUUUUUUUUGCCUCAUUGGUUUUGAAAGUAACCAUGAGAUAUCAAGUUGUGAGUAAGCCAGGCAUCCUCUGAGUUUCUAAGAUAAACUAUAAGUUUCAGAGUUUGUGAUUCAAACAAAGCUCUUUGUGGUUAAAUAGAUUAUUAAGUCUACUUAGUCAUAUUAAUGUUUUAUUAUAUUGGAAGAUAUCCAGGAAUUGGUGACUUCAAGUAUUGCUCCAUGGUAACCUGCCAAUAUUUAGAGCAGGGUAGGGCUAGCUAUUUGUAAUCAGAAGGGAGUGGGGAGGGGGCUACAGGCAAAUUGCCCAAUUUAAGGCCAAACCAGCAAAUUUUACAUCAAAAUUCCUUUCUUAGUUAUGUAUGACAUUUUUAUACCAAUUUAGCAAUGACUAAAAUACAACAAUAAUAAAAUAAUGUAGUUAUGUAAUAUAUUUAGUAAAAUACUGAGACAGCAGUGCUCAAACAUCUCUAUAUUAGUGGCCUAGGGGUUAAAGCAUUAAAUAAAAUGUCCGUGUAUAAAUGAUCCGUCCAUCCUCCAUCUCUCCAUCAUUCCAUCCACCCAUCCAUCAUCCACCCCACUAGUAAAUAGCUUCUGUGUACUAAUAACUUAUUACAUUUAUGUUAAGAGGGACCUGGACUAGGCAAUGCGUGUUGGCUCAUCGAGUGGUUUAGUUCCCAGAGUUCUUUCUCAGUCCAGCUUUAGUCAACCCUUGCAUACCGGUUUCCCCACUUACCCAGUGGUGUAUCUUGGUUUUGUGCUGCCCUAGGCAGGACAAAACUCAGACAUCCCCCCCCCCCGCGCUCCACCCCCACUCAACCCUUCCCCCCCUGCCCCACCUUCUAAACACACACACACACAUUCAUUGACAGAUACGCAUACAGUAGAUAACAGAAACACACACUGACACACACACACACAAACAGACACACUCACUAACACACACACACACACACAGUCAGACACACACACACUCACAGUCAGACAAACGCACACAGUCAGACACACACAGUCAGACACACACACACUAACAAACACACAGUCAGACACAAACACUAACACACACACACACACACUAACAGACACACAGUCAGACACUCACUCACUUUUUUUUUUUAUUUAACCCCCCAGCCUCCUUACCUUUUGGAAUGCUGUGGGGGGGGGUUCCCAUUCCCUGGGGGUCCAGUGCCUGCUUGGCUGCUGGCCGGGCGGGCGGGUGGCGCUGGCGAGGGAGAAAUUUCCCCCUGAGCUGUCUGCUCAGCUCCCUCAUGCGCCGCCCGCAGAGUGAGGCUGGGAGCCGGAAUAUGAUGUGUAGGGGAGAUUAGCACAGAUGUAGGGGUAAGUGCAGGGACGUUUUAGCCGCGAGGCAAACAAGGCAUUUGCCUUGGGCGGCAUUUUCCAAAUGCCCAGGGCAAAUGCCUUGUUAGCCUUGCGGCUAACUGACAUGCUGGGCGGUCGGGUGGGCGGUGCUGGCGAGCGAGCAAUUUCCCCUGAGCUGUCUGCUCAGCUCCCUCGCGCGCCGCCCGCAGAGUGAGGCUGGGAGCCGGAAUAUGGCGUCAUAUGGCACGCCCGACCGCCCAGCAUGUCAGUUAGCCGCAAGGCUAACAAGGCAUUUGCCCUGGGCAUUUGGAAAAUGCCGCCCAAGGCAAAUGCCUUGUUGCCUCGCGGCUAAAACGUCCCUGCACUUACCCCUACAUCUGUGCUAAUCUCCCCUAUCCACCUCUUUCUUUAUGUUAGUCUCCAAUAUCCUCUCUUUUGUCUGUGCAAAUUCCCCUAUUCAUUCCUUCUCUUGCAAUGGUUCUCUAACCUUCCUCCCUCUAUGUCAGUCAUUAGUAUCACCACCUACAUUUAUCUUUGUCUCUCUUGUUCUUAUUCUUCCCUAGUCUCUUUUUAUCCACUACUACCUACAUGCCAUUUUCUCAUUUCCCUUUUUGCCAGUUUCCCUUUAUUCAGGCAUCCAUGUACAGCUGGUCACUUUCUCCAAGCAAACACAGACCACGCAGGUGGAGAAGGAAGCAUGAGCAGAGGGGGGAGAAUGGGAAAGCCUCUAACUCUCAACAACCUCAGGCAGCCAAUGGAACCCAAUAAAAUGCACCAUACCACACCUAAAAGGUAAUAAAAACAAGAGGGUGGCUAAACAUUUUAUUUUUAUAUGUGUAUCUGUGUGUAUGUGUAUCGGUUUGUAUGUGUAUUUGUAGAUCUAUCUGUUUGAUUGUAUGUAUGUCUGUGUGUGUGUCUGUAUUUAUCUGUGUGUCUGUAUUUAUCUGUGUGUCUAUUUAUCUGUGUGUCUGUAUGUGUAUCUGUGUGUAUCUGUUUAUCUGCAUGUGUGUCAGUGUGUGCCGCUGUGUGUCAGUGUUUGCAUCUAUAUGAGUGUCAUUCUGUGUAUCUGAAUCUGUGUCAUUGUGUGUCUGUGUAUCUGCAUGCAGGUCAGUGUAUGUCAUUAUGUGUUUCUGUAUCUGUAUAUCUGUCUGUGUGUGUAUCUUAUAAUGCUUUCCUAAGGGGGUUUCGGGUGAUGCUGGAUGUCCUCAUGCAUAGCGUGAGAACGUCUUGCAUCAGUUAUGUGACCAAAAGUCACCUACUGACUUGGAAUUCCCUUUAGUAACCGUCUGGUAGACAGCCAAUAGAGGUGGAGUUAACCCCAGUAGGUAAUUAUUGCAGUUUAUUGAAAAAAAAAACUCAAAAAAUUACCACUGCAGGGUUAAGGGAACUGGAACACUGCACCCAGACCACUUUAAUGAGCUGAAGUUGUUUGGGUGCCUACAGUGUCCCUUUAAUUGAAAUCUAACUACACACUAGAGUUUCCUACAUGCUCUAGCAGGCUUGUAACAAAGCAAGAGAUGAGAAAACGACAAAACUACUUCUAUAAGGUUAAAGGUACACUAUGGGCAUCCGGACAACUUCAGCUCAUUGAAGUGAUCUGGGUGCAGUGUCCCAGGUCCCUUAACGUUGCAAAGCAAAUUAAUGUAGUUUUUAAUAAACUGCAAUACUUACCUUUGAAGGUUAAUUCCAUCUCUAGUGGUUGUUUACCAGACAGUCACUAGAGGGACUUCUGAGGGAUUAGGUGACAUUUGGUCGCCUAUCUGACGCUGGAAGUCCUCAUGGUAUGCAAUGUGGACAUCCAGCAUUAUGUAAAACCCUAUAGGAAAGCAUUCCACAUUCUUUCCUAUGGGGGAAGUACUAAUGCAAGCGCAUCCAUCGCUUUGUAUGUGCAUUAGGUUCCACCAUGCUGGCUGAUGUUGGCUGGGGAGGAGCAAGGGCGAAUCCUAAACCAAUGCCGAGGGACAUCGGCGCUGAAAUCAGAUAACUGACAAAAUUCGUUUUUUAACCCCUUCUGCACCAUAGAUGGGCUCCACCACAACUAGCUUUCCCUAGUUUCCCUUUAAG